UACAGAGGUCUCAAGCGUUGUUCGGAUUCAUUGGGCGUAAAGGGUGCGUAGGCGGCGCGGUAAGUCGGGUGUGAAAUCUUGGAGCUUAACUCCGAAACUGCAUUCGAUACUGCCGUGCUUGAGGACUGGAGAGGAGACUGGAAUUUACGGUGUAGCGGUGAAAUGCGUAGAUAUCGUAAGGAAGACCAGUGGCGAAGGCGGGUCUCGUGGACAGUUCCUGACGCUGAGGCACGAAGGCCAGGGGAGCAAACGGGGAUU
rnacentral:rRNA from 1 species